rnacentral:rRNA from 1 species
AACGAACGCUGGCGGCAUGCCUAACACAUGCAAGUCGAACGAGACCUCCGGGUCUUUUGGCGCACGGGUGCGUAACGCGUGGGAACCUGCCCUUAGGUUCGGAAUAACUCCCCGAAAGGGGUGCUAAUACCGGAUAAUGUCUUCGGACCGAUGAUUUAUUGCCUUUUGGUGGGCCCGCGUUGGAUUAGCUAGUUGGUAGGGUAAAAGCCUACCAAGGCGUAGAUCCAUAGCUGGUCUGAGAGGAUGAUCAGCCACACUGGGACUGAGACACGGCCCAGACUCCUACGGGAGGCAGCAGUCGUGAAUAUUGGACACUGGGCGAAAGCCUGAUCCAGCAAUGCCGCGUGAGUGAUGAAGGCGUUAGGGUUGUAAAGCUCUUUUACCCGGGAUGAUAAGGACGGAACCGGGAGAAUAGGCUCGGGCUAACUCGGU